UUCUCCUCUCUUCUUCUCUUCUUCUCUCCUUCUCCCCUUUUUCUUCUCCAAAAUGGCUGCUAUGUCGCAGAAAAGAGGAAAGGAGAAAGGAGAAAUUGG
rnacentral:ribozyme from 13 species